rnacentral:rRNA from 1 species
UGUUUCGGCUAGGGGGCCAUCCCGGCUUACCAACCCGAUGCAAACUGCGAAUACCGGAGAAUGUUAUCACGGGAGACACACGGCGGGUGCUAACGUCCGUCGUGAAGAGGGAAACAACCCAGACCGCCAGCUAAGGUCCCAAAGUCAUGGUUAAGUGGGAAACGAUGUGGGAAGGCCCAGACAGCCAGGAUGUUGGCUUAGAAGCAGCCAUCAUUUAAAGAAAGCGUAAUAGCUCACUGGUCGAGUCGGCCUGCGCGGAAGAUGUAACGGGGCUAAACCAUGCACCGAAGCUGCGGCAGCGAACGUAUCACUUAAAGCGAUUCAGCGGAUGACGAUUGACGGAGCGAAGCGACGUCAAAGCGUAUACAAAGUCGAGUCGGUUUAAGGAUACGUUCGUUGGGUAGGGGAGCGUUCUGUAAGCCUGUGAAGGUGGCCUGUGAGGGUUGCUGGAGGUAUCAGAAGUGCGAAUGCUGACAUAAGUAACGAUAAAGCGGGUGAAAAGCCCGCUCGCCGGAAGACCAAGGGUUCCUGUCCAACGUUAAUCGGGGCAGGGUGAGUCGACCCCUAAGGCGAGGCCGAAAGGCGUAGUCGAUGGGAAACAGGUUAAUAUUCCUGUACUUGGUGUUACUGCGAAGGGGGGACGGAGAAGGCUAUGUUGGCCGGGCGACGGUUGUCCCGGUUUAAGCGUGUAGGCUGGUUUUCCAGGCAAAUCCGGAAAAUCAAGGCUGAGGCGUGAUGACGAGGCACUACGGUGCUGAAGCAACAAAUGCCCUGCUUCCAGGAAAAGCCUCUAAGCAUCAGGUAACAUCAAAUCGUACCCCAAACCGACACAGGUGGUCAGGUAGAGAAUACCAAGGCGCUUGAGAGAACUCGGGUGAAGGAACUAGGCAAAAUGGUGCCGUAACUUCGGGAGAAGGCACGCUGACACGUAGGUGAAGUGAUUUACUCAUGGAGCUGAAGUCAGUCGAAGAUACCAGCUGGCUGCAACUGUUUAUUAAAAACACAGCACUGUGCAAACACGAAAGUGGACGUAUACGGUGUGACGCCUGCCCGGUGCCGGAAGGUUAAUUGAUGGGGUCAGCGCAAGCGAAGCUCCUGAUCGAAGCCCCGGUAAACGGCGGCCGUAACUAUAACGGUCCUAAGGUAGCGAAAUUCCUUGUCGGGUAAGUUCCGACCUGCACGAAUGGCGUAAUGAUGGCCAGGCUGUCUCCACCCGAGACUCAGUGAAAUUGAACUCGCUGUGAAGAUGCAGUGUACCCGCGGCAAGACGGAAAGACCCCGUGAACCUUUACUAUAGCUUGACACUGAACAUUGAGCCUUGAUGUGUAGGAUAGGUGGGAGGCUUUGAAGUGUGGACGCCAGUCUGCAUGGAGCCGACCUUGAAAUACCACCCUUUAAUGUUUGAUGUUCUAACGUGGACCCGUAAUCCGGGUUGCGGACAGUGUCUGGUGGGUAGUUUGACUGGGGCGGUCUCCUCCUAAAGAGUAACGGAGGAGCACGAAGGUUGGCUAAUCCUGGUCGGACAUCAGGAGGUUAGUGCAAUGGCAUAAGCCAGCUUGACUGCGAGCGUGACGGCGCGAGCAGGUGCGAAAGCAGGUCAUAGUGAUCCGGUGGUUCUGAAUGGAAGGGCCAUCGCUCAACGGAUAAAAGGUACUCCGGGGAUAACAGGCUGAUACCGCCCAAGAGUUCAUAUCGACGGCGGUGUUUGGCACCUCGAUGUCGGCUCAUCACAUCCUGGGGCUGAAGUAGGUCCCAAGGGUAUGGCUGUUCGCCAUUUAAAGUGGUACGCGAGCUGGGUUUAGAACGUCGUGAGACAGUUCGGUCCCUAUCUGCCGUGGGCGCUGGAGAACUGAGGGGGGCUGCUCCUAGUACGAGAGGACCGGAGUGGACGCAUCACUGGUGUUCGGGUUGUCAUGCCAAUGGCACUGCCCGGUAGCUAAAUGCGGAAGAGAUAAGUGCUGAAAGCAUCUAAGCACGAAACUUGCCCCGAGAUGAGUUCUCCCUGAGACUUAGAGUCUCCUGAAGGAACGUUGAAGACGACGACGUUGAUAGGCCGGGUGUGUAAGCGCAGCGAUGCGUUGAGCUAACCGGUACUAAUGAACCGUGAG